rfam:Oryza glumipatula chromosome 6, whole genome shotgun sequence.
AAUACGUGUAGUUUUACACCGUUCAUAUCCAACGUUUGACCGUGCGUCUUAUUUAAAUUUUUUUAUAAUUUAUAUUUUUAUUGUUACCAGAUGAUAAAACAUGAAUAAUACUUUAUGUGUGACUAUUUUUUUUAUAAAUUCUUGAAAUAAGAUGAACGGUCAAACGUUGGACACCGAUUAUCACAACUGCACUUAUU